CCUACGCCACUGGAUUGAGCGUGAUGGCCGACAGAAGAUCAGUUACAGGACCUAACCCGUUCAGGGCCUUUAUGGUUUUCAGAUGUGCUUCAUUUGUGAGCAGACUAUCAGUAACAGCCUUGUGGACACCAUUUCAUCACCUGUGUCCAUCCUAUUCCCCAUUUCUGCCAUCAGCAUGACUCCAGUGAAGGCUGCAGGACCCCCAGCUGCUAGCUGUCCCUGGGCCUGGCAAGAACCCCUUUUACUGGGUAAUCAUACCUACCAGCCCCUUUUGAUUCAGCUGAUAGAGCAGAAGGUGGCCUGCAGCACCGC